UACGGAGGGUGCAAGCGUUAUCCGGAUUCACUGGGUUUAAAGGGUGCGUAGGAGGGCAGGUAAGUCAGUGGUGAAAUCCCCAAGCUUAACUUGGGAACUGCCGUUGAUACUAUCUGUCUUGAAUACCGUGGAGGUGAGUGGAAUAUGUCAUGUAGCGGUGAAAUGCUUAGAUAUGACAUAGAACACCAAUUGCGAAGGCAGCUCGCUACACGAAUAUUGACUCUGAGGCACGAAAGCGUGGGGAUCAAACAGG
rnacentral:rRNA from 1 species